rnacentral:rRNA from 1 species
UCGCACGAGAAAGGGAGCAAUCCUAAGUAAAGUGGCGCACGGGUGAGUAACACGUGGAUCAUCUACCUUUUAGUGGGGAAUACCUCUGGGAAACCGGAGACAAUACCGCAUAAGCCCGCAAGGGGAAAGCAGCAAUGCGCUGAAAGAGGAGUCCGCGGCCGAUUAGCUAGUUGGCGGGGUAACGGCCCACCAAGGCGAAGAUCGGUAGCCGGCCUGAGAGGGCACACGGCCACACUGGCACUGAAACACGGGCCAGACUCCUACGGGAGGCAGCAGUGGGGAAUCUUGCACAAUGGGCGAAAGCCUGAUGCAGCGUACGCCGCGUGAGCGAUGAAGCCCUUCGGGGUGUAAAGCUCUUUCGACGGGAACGAUAAUGACGGUACCCGGAGAAGAAGCUGCGGCUAACUACGUGCCAGCAGCCGCGGUAAUACGUAGGCAGCGAGCGUUGUUCGGAAUUUACUGGGCGUAAAGAGUGUGUAGGCGGUGUUCCCAGUCUGUUGUGAAAUCUCCCGGCUUAACUGGGAGGGUGCAGCGGAAACUAGAAUGCUAGAGGGUGGGAGAAGUAAGCGGAAUUCCUGGUGUAGCGGUGAAAUGCGUAGAUAUCAGGAGGAACACCUGUGGUGUAGACAGCUUACUGGACCACUUCUGACGCUGAGACACGAAAGCGUGGGUAGCAAACAGGAUUAGAUACCCUGGUAGUCCACGCCCUAACGAUGCAUACUUGGUGUGAGCGAUUCAUUUCGUUCGUGCCG